rnacentral:rRNA from 1 species
GUUUGAUCCUGGCUCAGAUUGAACGCUGGCGGCAUGCCUUACACAUGCAAGUCGAACGGUAACGGGCCUUCGGGUGCCGACGAGUGGCGAACGGGUGAGUAAUGUAUCGGAACGUACCUUUCAGUGGGGGAUAACGUAGCGAAAGUUACGCUAAUACCGCAUAUUCUGUGCGCAGGAAAGCAGGGGAUCGCAAGACCUUGCGCUGAUUGAGCGGCCGAUAUCAGAUUAGCUAGUUGGUGAGGUAAAGGCUCACCAAGGCGACGAUCUGUAGCGGGUCUGAGAGGAUGAUCCGCCACACUGGAACUGAGACACGGUCCAGACUCCUACGGGAGGCAGCAGUGGGGAAUUUUGGACAAUGGGGGCAACCCUGAUCCAGCCAUGCCGCGUGAGUGAAGAAGGCCUCGGUGU